UACGUAGGGACCAAGCGUUGUUCGGAUUUACUGGGCGUAAAGGGCGCGUAGGCGGCGUGUUAAGUCACUUGUGAAAUCUCUGAGCUUAACUCAGAACGGCCAAGUGAUACUGCUGUGCUAGAGUGCAGAAGGGGCAAUCGGAAUUCUUGGUGUAGCGGUGAAAUGCGUAGAUAUCAAGAGGAACACCUGAGGUGAAGACGGGUUGCUGGGCUGACACUGACGCUGAGGCGCGAAAGCCAGGGGGAGCAAACGGGAUUAGAACCGUACGU
rnacentral:rRNA from 1 species